GAUGAACGCUGACAGAAUGCUUAACACAUGCAAGUCUUUGGCGAAGCUGUGCUUGCACAGCCUAGCCAAGGCGGACGGGUGAGUAACGCGUAAGGAACUUGCCCUGCAGUCAGGGAUAACAGACGGAAACGACUGAUAAGACCUGGUAAAGUCAGGCGGACUCAUGUCCAGCCUGAUGAAAAGUGAUGCUGCAGGAGAGCCUUGCGUCCUAUUAGCUUGUUGGUGGGGUAACGGCCCACCAAGGCGAUGAUAGGUAGCCGGCCUGAGAGGGUGGACGGCCACAAGGGGACUGAGAUACGGCCCUUACUCCUACGGGAGGCAGCAGUGGGGAAUAUUGGACAAUGGGGGCAACCCUGAUCCAGCAAUUCUGUGUGCACGAUGAAGGUUUUCGGAGUGUAAAGUGCUUUCAACAGGGAAGAAAAAAAUGACGGUACCUGCAGAAGAAGCGACGGCUAAAUACGUG
rnacentral:rRNA from 1 species